ensembl:rRNA 5S_rRNA 5S ribosomal RNA
CAUUGUGGCCAUUCCAGCCUGUCAGUGCCCGAUCUCGUUAGAUCUCAGAAGCUAAGCAGGCCUGGGCCUGGUUAGUAGUUGGAUGGGAGACCACUGAGAAUUCCAGUUACCACAGUGG